rnacentral:rRNA from 1 species
GUCUACGGCCAUACCACCCUGAACACACCUGAUCUCAUCUGAUCUCAGAAGCUAAGCAGGGUCGAGCCUGGUUAGUACUUGGAUGGGAGAAUUCUGCUUAGGCAGUCCUCAAUA